UCCUAUGUACUAUGUUAUCCUAACCACUCCAUUUUUUAUUUUCAACAAAAUCAUCAUCUUAUUGGGGCCAGGCUAGUAAGUCAACACACAUUGUUUCGUUCUGGUUUCUUGUCGCAUCUUCGGUUGGGGAGGAAGGGGUUGAUCCUCUCCUCUCCUCUCCUCUCCUUCUCUAAGCCGUGCCACCAAGUUAAGAAUCGACCAGCUCGAUCACCGUCGGCAUCCAUCUCCUGUGCUCCUUUGUAUGCAGUGUUUUGCGUGAUCACGGAGUUUAUAUCUUUCAUCCCUUCAUCAGGCCCUCUCAAGUAUAUUUAGGUAACAAAAAUGGAGAUGGAGAACGGGCUACAACAUCAAACUUCGACACCAAAGAAAAUGAAGCUUGGGUAUCUAAGAAGAAGCACGGAACAAUUCUCUGAUACACUAUUAAUUGACAGGGGUGGAUCGGAUUUGGAGCAGUUUACAUGGACACCCGGACGUUGACUUCUUUCCCUGCUGCGUUAAGUUCAUCUGUCGGGACGCAGCGGGAUGGGAGGUUGUGGAGCCCGAUGCCUAGUUAGGGGACUGCAAAUGUAGGCCUUUUAAUUUGACGGUUCCGUCACAGUUGAUCUGCUCCGAGUAUAUGCCUAAUGGAAACCUCGAGAAGUACCUUAGUAAAGGUAUGACAGUGCUGUGUGCUGACAAGUAGUCUUCGUCCUUUAUCUUCUUAUUUCGUCUUGUUUUGAUGUCUACAUUUUUUUAUGUCUGUGUGCACUAUAAUUGUUUUGUUAUUGUUUUACCAAGAGUAGCAUGGCAUUGUGGAAAAUAAAGCUGGAAUGCCAAUUUCCAUGUAUCAACGUAAAGGAGCUGAAUCAAACUCUAUGCAUUCCACUGAUCACUCCAAAGAAAAAUCUGGCGUAUUAGACUGGAAUGAGCGCUACAAGAUAAUUGUGGGUAUUUGCAAGGGUUUACGUCAUCUUCAUGAGGGUCGAGGCAGUGCACGCACAUAUUCUUCCUUUGGAUCUAAAACCUGCCAAUGUAUUGCUGGAUAACGACAUGACACCCAAGAUUGCAGACUUUGGCCAGUCAAGGCUGUUCGGUGAAGGACAAACUCACACUGCAAAUGUAGUAGGGACACUGAGAGAAAAAAACUCUUAAGAUAUCUAUUUCUCUAAUUUUCUC